AUACUUACCUGGCAGGGGAGAUACCAUGAUCAUGAAGGUGGUUUUCCCAGGGCAAGGCUUAUCCAUUGCACUCCGGAUGUGCUGACCCCUGUGAUUUCCCCAAAUGUGGGAAACUUGACUGCAUAAUUUGUGGUAGUAGGGGACUGCGUUCAUGCUUUCCCCUG
ensembl:snRNA U1 U1 spliceosomal RNA